AGGACGAACGCUGGCGGCGUGCUUAACACAUGCAAGUCGAGCGGUAAGGCCCUUUCGGGGGUACACGAGCGGCGAACGGGUGAGUAACACGUGAGCAAUCUGCCCUUCACUUCGGGAUAAGCCUCGGAAACGGGGUCUAAUACCGGAUAUGACCGCGCUACGCAUGUGGUGUGGUGGAAAGUUCUGGCGGUGGAGGAUGAGCUCGCGGCCUAUCAGCUUGUUGGUGGGGUAAUGGCCUACCAAGGCUUCGACGGGUAGCCGGCCUGAGAGGGUGACCGGCCACACUGGGACUGAGACACGGCCCAGACUCCUACGGGAGGCAGCAGUGGGGAAUAUUGGACAAUGGGCGAAAGCCUGAUCCAGCAACGCCGCGUGAGGGAUGACGGCCUUCGGGUUGUAAACCUCUUUCAGCGCCGACCGAAGCGAGAGUGACGAUAGGCGCAGAAGAAGACACCGGACCAACUACGCGCCAGCAACCGAC
rnacentral:rRNA from 1 species